GACGUAGGGCGCGAGCGUUGUCCGGAUUUAUUGGGCGUAAAGAGCUCGUAGGCGGCUUGUUGCGUCGACCGUGAAAACCCGCGGCUUAACUGUGGGCUUGCGGUCGAUACGGGCGGGCUGGAGUUCGGUAGGGGAGACUGGAAUUCCUGGUGUAGCGGUGAAAUGCGCAGAUAUCAGGAGGAACACCGGUGGCGAAGGCGGUUCUCUGGGCCUGACCUGACGCUGAGGAGCGAAAGCGUGGGGAGCGAACAGG
rnacentral:rRNA from 1 species